GGGGAGGUGGCCGAGUGGCUGAAGGCGCUCGCCUGCUAAGCGAGUAAGGGAGUAAUGCUCCCUUCGCGGGUUCAAAUCCCGCCCUCUCCG
rnacentral:tRNA from 2 species